AUUCAACGGUACAAUAGUAUUUUUCUUAAAAUAAAACUUGUUUAAAAAUACACAGAUUAAUAAUAGCUCUAGUAUUUCUUGUAAGUUUUUCCUUCGUAGCAGCAGUGCCUUUAAAUGGACUGAACAUCCCGUCAGAGUGCAAUGACAACGCUUCCUUCGCCGACUGUGAACUCAUAGUGCGCAGCAAGUUCUGCCAACACCGUUACUAUUCUACGUUUUGUUGUAAGUCAUGCAUGAACGCUGGCCAUAUUGAUCCGACAUCAAUAUUUGAAGAAAGGGUGGAGGACAGAGAUGUUUCAGGACUGAACAUCCCGUCAGAGUGCAAUGACAACGCUUCCUUCGCCGACUGUGAACUCAUAGUGCGCAGCAAUUUCUGCCAACACCGUUUCUAUUCUACGUUUUGUUGUAAGUCAUGCAUGAACGCUGGCCAUAUUGAUCCGACAUCAAUAUUUGAAGAAAGGGUGGUGGACAGAGAUGUUUCAGGACUGAACAUCCCGUCAGAGUGCAAUGACAACGCUUCCUUCGCCGACUGUGAACUCAUAGUGCGCAGCAAUUUCUGCCAACACCGUUUCUAUUCUACAUUUUGUUGUAAGUCAUGCAUGAACGCUGGCCGAAAUUUGAAGAAAGGGACAGAGAUCACUGGAAGUAACUUAGUUCCUGCGAAUGACACUACACUAAUAUAAAUUAAACCUUAUAUUAAUUAACUUAUGAGAAACAACUUAAUACAGCAUAAGAAUGUACUUUGAUUCACUUUUUGAUCUUUUUAGAUUAUCUUUAUUAGAUAUAUUAUCAAUUUGAUCUAUGUCAUGUUAUUCACUAAAUUAUAAUAAUGUUAAAUAACAAUAUGUAUAAUAAUAAUAUUUAAGACUCACUACUACACGGUCACAUUAUCUCUGGACCUCGCUGGAACGUGAAGCUCCAUCCCGUACCUCUUUCACCCCUGUUGCGUCAGUACGGUUUGCAGUUUCAUGACCGUUAGGUGUACCUAUGUCGUGAUAUGUUCGUGCUAUAACUGCUUUGCUUUUGUUGUUAAUAGUUCUGUAGUCUGUUAAUUUAUGUAAAAAAAUAUUUUUAUACUUAAUCCAGAUUCAUUCAUUGAUUUCCCAUAAUAAUAAUUAUCAGCACACAACACACAUUAACAUCAAUCUAUAAUACUGACAAAAUAAAUAUUUUUUUAAUUAUUCGUAAUAACAAUAUCCUAGUGAUGCUUGUUUUGCACACCGCGACCGUAACAAACCAACGAUGUGACGUCAUGCAACAGGUACAGAGAUAUCCGGUAACCGGGUAGCAAUCCAUUGUCAUUCUGUCAAUUAUAUUAUUCUCAUAAUUAUAUUUUACUGAAAUAAAACAAAAUAAUGCUGUAACAUAAA